rnacentral:rRNA from 1 species
AGAGUUUGAUCCUGGCUCAGGAUGAACGCUAGCGACAGGCUUAACACAUGCAAGUCGAGGGGCAGCAUAAAAGUAGCAAUACUUGGUGGCGACCGGCGCACGGGUGAGUAACGCGUAUGCAACCUACCUAUCAGAGGGGAAUAACCUGGCGAAAGUCGGACUAAUACCGCAUAAAACAGGGGCACCGCAUGGUGAUAUUUGUUAAAGAAAUUCGCUGAUAGAUGGGCAUGCGUUCCAUUAGGUAGUUGGUGAGGUAACGGCUCACCAAGCCGACGAUGGAUAGGGGAACUGAGAGGUUGGUCCCCCACACUGGUACUGAGACACGGACCAGACUCCUACGGGAGGCAGCAGUGAGGAAUAUUGGUCAAUGGGCGGGAGCCUGAACCAGCCAAGUCGCGUGAAGGAAGAAGGAUCUAUGGUUCGUAAACUUCUUUUGCAGGGGAAUAAAGUGCAGGACGUGUCCUGUUUUGUAUGUACCCUGAGAAUAAGGAUCGGCUAACUCCGUGCCAGCCGCAGC